ACCUCUGAGAAGGUUGAAGAAGCUCUAGAGGACUUGAGGUCCUUUUCUCCCUCAUAUUUUUAGUGGUUCCUUCCAACCUUCCUGCGCGUUCACCGCCCGCCGCCGCCAUCUUGAGGCGCGGCGGGCCCAUUCAACAAGAUGCCGGCACCCUUCCACCAUCUCCGGUGCUAUUUUGAAAUAAAUUUUAAAGCGAAUCGCAGCCAAACUGAGCACGGCGGAUUCGCCGUCACGAUUCAUCCCGCCCCACCGUUUUAAGCCAACGGAGAACGGGGAGAAGGGCGGAAAGGCGAGGUUUUAAUACGCCCACAGGGCGCCGCCAUGUUGUACGGCAGGACGCAGCUGAGGCGCACUUCCGCUUCCGGUGGGGGAGCGGCCCCUCAGCGGUGGCGGAGCGGGGGCCCUCCCCCAAAAUUUGCCCAAAUUCUUGAAGAUUUGCCCCAAAAAUGAGCUGAGCUCUUGGAUGGAGCCCUGGGA